rnacentral:rRNA from 1 species
GAUGAACGCUCGCUACAGGCUUAACACAUGCAAGUCGAGGGGAAACGGCAUUAAGUGCUUGCACUUUUUGGACGUCGACCGGCGCACGGGUGAGUAACGCGUAUCCAACCUUCCCAUGACUAAGGGAUAACCUGCCGAAAGGCAGACUAAUACCUUAUGGUCUUCACUGACGGCAUCAGAUGUGAAGUAAAGAUUUAUCGGUUAUGGAUGGGGAUGCGUCUGAUUAGCUUGUUGGCGGGGUAACGGCCCACCAAGGCAACGAUCCGUAGGGGUUCUGAGAGCAAGGUCCCCCACAUUGGAACUGAGACACAGACCAAAAUGCUACGGGAGGCAGCGGUGAGGAAUAUUGGGCAAUGGGCGAUAGCCUGAACCAGCCAAGUAGCGUGCAGGAUGACGGCCCUAUGGGUUGUAAACUGCUUUUGUAUGGGGAUAAAGUCAAUCACGUGUGAUUGUUUGCAGGUACCAGACGAAUAAGGACCGGCUAAUUCCGUG